rnacentral:rRNA from 1 species
CCGAGAGGAGAAGAAUCCAGACCGUCAUCUAAGGUCCCGAAAUUCUGUCUAAGUUAGUCUAACGAAGUGUGGUCCCCGUGACAGCUAGGAUGUUGGCUUGGAAGCAGCCAUUCAUUCAAAGAGUGCGUAACAGCUCACUAGUCGAGGGUCCGUGCAUGGAUAAUAAUCGGGUAUAAAGUCAGAUACCGAAGGUGCGGGAUAGUAUAUAAAAAAAGUAUCGGUAGGGGAGCAUUCCAUCGGCUUAGAAUAUAGGUUGUGAGACCUGUUGGAGCUUAUGGAAAAGCAAAUGUAGGUAUAAGUAACGAUAAAAAGGGUUAGAUUCCCUUUCGCCGAAAGACCGAGGUUUCCCGGGCGAUGCCAAUCAGCCCGGGGUUAGUCGAGUCCUAAGUCUCAUCCUAAUGGAGCAGGCGAUGGCAGAUGCGGUUAAUAUUCCGCAACUUGCUUAAAGAGUGACGUGGAGACGGAGUAGUGACACUGUCGCGUUCAGACGGAAAGGAACGUUUACCGCCGUAUGUAAUGAGAAAUGCAGGCAAAUCCACAUUUCGAGCAGAAAGCGUAAAGUACAAUAUUCUCUUCGGAGGAAAUUGAUAGUACAGGUAAUCAGACUUCCAAGAAAAUCCGCUAACAUAAAUUUUUAAGCAACUCGUACCGCAAACGGACACACGUGGUCGGGUAGAACAUACUAAGGCGUUGAGAGAUUCAUGGUUAAGGAACUAGGCAAAUUGACCCUGUAACUUCGGGAUAAAGGGUCCUCGUGUUUAAAUAUACGAGGCGCAGAGAAUAGGUCCAGGCAACUGUUUAACAAAAACACAGGGCUGUGCUAACUCGAAAGAUGAUGUAUACAGCCUGACACCUGCCCGGUGCUGGAAGGUUAAGAGGAGAGCUUAGAAGCAAUUCGAAGGUUUGAAUUGAAGCCCCAGUAAACGGCGGCCGUAACUAUAACGGUCCUAAGGUAGCGAAAUUCCUUGUCGGGUAAGUUCCGACCUGCACGAAUGGUGUAAUGAUCCGGACGCUGUCUCAACCAUGAUCUCAGUGAAAUUGUAGUAUCGGUGAAGAUGCCGAUUACCCGCGAUGGGACGAAAAGACCCCGUGAACCUUUACUAUAGCUUAACAUUGACCUUGGUCAUCCGAUGUGUAGGAUAGGCCGGAGGCUUAGAAGUUUUUGCGCCAGCAGAAGUGGAGCCACCGUUGAAAUACGGCCCUUUGGCUGUCUGAGGUCUAACGCGCAUAGCGCGGACAUUGUUUGGUGGGUAGUUUGACUGGGGUGGUCGCCUCCAAAAGCGUAACGGAGGCUUCCAAAGGUACCCUCAGGUCGAUUGGUAACCGACCUCAAAGAGUGUAAUGGCAUAAGGGUGCUUGACUGGGAGGCAGACAUGCCGAGCAGGUAGGAAACUAGGGCAUAGUGAUCCGGCGGAUGUGUAUGGAAACUCCGUCGCUCAAAGGAUAAAAGGUACUCCGGGGAUAACAGGCUGAUCCCCCCCAAGAGCUCAUAUCGACGGGGUGGUUUGGCACCUCGAUGUCGGCUCGUCACAUCCUGGGGCUGGAGAAGGUCCCAAGGGUUGGGCUGUUCGCCCAUUAAAGUGGCACGCGAGCUGGGUUCAGAACGUCGUGAGACAGUUCGGUCUCUAUCUAUCGUGGGCGUUGGAGUUUUGAGUGGUUCUGACACUAGUACGAGAGGACCGUGUUGGACAGACCUCCGGUUUACCAGUUGUGCCGCCAGGUGCACUGCUGGGUAUCUGAGUCUGGUAUGGAUAAGCGCUGAAAGCAUCUAAGUGCGAAGCCUUCCGCGAGAUGAGAACUCCU